GACGAACGCUGGCGGCGUGCCUAAUACAUGCAAGUCGAGCGCAGGAAACUGACGGAACUCUUCGGAGGGAAGGCAGCGGAAUGAGCGGCGGACGGGUGAGUAACACGUAAGGAACCUGCCUCAAGGAUUGGGAUAACUCCGAGAAAUCGGAGCUAUACCGGAUAGUUCAACGGACCGCAUGGUCCGCUGAUGAAAGGCGCUCCGGCGUCACCUUGAGAUGGCCUUGCGGUGCAUUAGCUAGUUGGUGGGGUAACGGCCCACCAAGGCGACGAUGAAUAGCCGACCGGAGAGGGUGAUCGGCCACACUGGGACUGGGACACGGCCCAGACUCCUACGGGAGGCAGCAGUAGGGAAUCUUCCACAAUGGACGAAAGUCUGAUGGAGCAACGCCGCGCGAGUGAUGAAGGUUUUCGGAUCGUAAAACUCUGUUGUAAGGGAAGAACACGUACGAGAGGAAAUGCUCGUACCUUGACGGUACCUUACGAGAAAGCCACGGCUAACUACGUGCCAGCCGCCGCAGUAAUAC
rnacentral:rRNA from 1 species